rnacentral:lncRNA from 1 species
AAAAGGGAGGUGGAAGAAGGAUGGUGGAUCAGAGAGGGAGAAAGAUGAAAAGGGUGGUGGAAGGUGGAGUAAGAGAAAGAGAGGGAAAAAAAGCCUAAAAAAAAGUCAGAAGAAAUUCUAAAAAUAAAAUAUAACUCAUAUUUUAAUACCAAAUUUUAUAGAGUCAAUUGAAUAAAAAAAAUAGGAAAAUUAUUAUAUGAGAAUCUUGAAUAUAAGAACUAAAUUAUUAGUUAAGUCUAAUUUAAAUGUUUAAAAAUGCUUUUAGUAUUUACAAGACAAAAAUGUUCUAAGU